UCUGUUUCUUAGAGCUUCCAUUCCCAAUCGGUUUCAACAUAGCGUAUACUGAUUACGACAACUAUCUGGUUGCAUACACUUGUCUCGGUAUUCCUCCCAUCUACACCGUUAAACACGGUUGGAUUUUGUCCAGGAAUAACACCAUCAGUGCUGACAAGCUUACCGAACUGACCGAUUUGUUGUUCACUAAGUAUGGAGUUUCACGCGAUGAGACUGAAUUCACAACCCAAAAGGACUGUAAAUACUGGCCAGUACCACAAUAAAUAGCAUUGAGAGUCAAAUAAUUGUAACGUUGUAAUGAAUGAUCGACUCAAGAACCUAAUUUAAACGAAUGAAUGAUAAAUAUCAUGAUUCUAACAAUAGGCAAAUGCAAAUCGUUACAUCGUUAAAUCAUCGUUACAAAUUGAAACAGUACUAAUAAACUGCUAAUGUUGCACAGUAAUCAUAUUUUAA